AAAAAAAAAUCCCCCCCCAAAUUUUUUGAACCCCCUUAUGAUUCAUCACCCCCAAACUCAAUCCCAGCCUUCCCUUUGUGGUAUGGUACCUUGCAGUACAAUUUCAGAGAGAUCCAUACACUUGAACACAAGUUAUUGUCUGGAAACUAGAAAAAUGCUUAUUUUUGGCCCAUUUUUGGCCCCCAAUUCCUAAACGUUUCGGGCAAUUAUCCCCAAACUCAAUUCCAGCUUUCCCUUUGUGAUAUGGAACCUUGUAGUACAAUUUCAGAAAUAUCCAAACACUAACACACAAGUUAUUGUCAUGAAACUAAAAAAAUGCUUGUUUUUGGCCCCUUUUUUGGCCCCUAAUUCCUAAAAUUUUGAGGCAAUUACCCCCAAAAUCAAUUACAGCCUUUCCUUUGUGAUAUGGAACCUUGUGGUACAAUGUCAGAGAGAUCCAUACACUUACACACAAGUUAUUGUCUGGAAGUUACAAAAUGCUUAUUUUUGGCCCCUUUUUGGCCCCUAAUUCCUUAACUGUUAGUACCAUAACCCCCAAAAUCAAUCCCCACCUUCCUUUUGUGGUAUUGAACCUUAUGGUAAAAUUUCAUUGAGAUCCAUUUACUUAAACUAAAGUUAGAGUGCGAAAACUAAUGUGUCUUCGGACGACGACGAUGACGCCAACGUCAUACCAAUAUACGACCACAAAAAUUUUUUUGCGGUCGUAUAAAAAUCUAAAAA